rnacentral:rRNA from 1 species
GACGAACGCUGACGGCGUGCUUUAGACAUGCAAGUCGAACGAGAAAGCCCUUCGGGGUUAGUAAAGUGGCGAACGGGUGAGUAACACGUGGGCAAUCUGCCCUUCGUUGGGGGACAACCGGGGAAAACCCGGCUAAUACCCCGUAAGCUUGCUGGACCGCAUGGUCCGGUAAGGAGAGGUAGCUUCGGCCAUCCGGCGAAGGAGGAGCCCGCGGUACAUUAGCUAGUUGGUGAGGUAACGGCUCACCAAGGCUACGAUGUAUAGCUGGUCUGAGAGGAUGAUCAGCCACACUGGGACUGAGACACGGCCCAGACUCCUACGGGAGGCAGCAG